rnacentral:rRNA from 1 species
GAUGAACGCUGGCGGCGUGCCUAAUACAUGCAAGUCGAGCGAACAGACGAGGAGCUUGCUCCUCUGACGUUAGCGGCGGACGGGUGAGUAACACGUGGAUAACCUACCUGUAAGACUGGGAUAACUUCGGGAAACCGGAGCUAAUACCGGAUAAUAUAUUGAACCGCAUGGUUCAAUAGUGAAAGACGGUUUUGCUGUCACUUAUAGAUGGAUCCGCGCCGCAUUAGCUAGUUGGUAAGGUAACGGCUUACUAAGGCGACGAUGCGUAGCCGACCUGAGAGGGUGAUUGGCCGCACUGGAGCGGAGACACGGUCCAGACUCCUACGGGAGGCAGCAGUAGGGAAUCUUCCGCAACGGGCGAAAGCAUGACGGAGCAACGCCGAGUGAGUGAUGAAGGUCUUCGGAUCGUAAAACUGUGUUAUUAGGGAAGAACAAAUGUGUAAGUAACUAUGCACGUCUUGACGGUACCUAAUCAGAAAGCAACGGCUAACUACGUG